rnacentral:tRNA from 1 species
UGGGCAGAUGGCGAAAUUAGGUAAACGCAUCAAAUUCAAAAUUUGACAACAAAUGUUAUGUGGGUUCAAUUCCCACUCUGCCUAU